UGUUACAGGUUAGUUUUACCCUACUGAUGAAGCGUUGUUGCCACAGUAAUCCUGCUCAGUACGAGAGGAACCGCAGAUUCAGACAUUUGGUUCAUGUGCUUGGCUGAUAAGCCAAUGGUGCGAAGCUACCAUCUGAGGGAUUAUGACUGAACGCCUCUAAGUCAGAAUCCCGCCUGGAAAGCGACGAUGCAUUCGUGCCUCGGCCUCGAGAGGCGUAGCUAGACGGCCGCGUGGCCGUGGAAAGAGCCCGAUUCCGACCCGAGAGGCCGCGGCAAAAGGCGGCCUCGAAGUCGGUGGAUCCUCCUGCUCGAAAGGCGGGGUGCUAAACCAUUCGCAGACGACCUAGUUGAAGAUCGGGGUGUCGUGAUCACUAGAGCAGUACAUCUCACUGCGAUUUGUUGAGAGUAAGCCUCAAGAUCUGUCGGUUUGU
rnacentral:ncRNA from 1 species